rnacentral:misc_RNA from 1 species
UACGUAGGUGGCAAGCGUUGUCCGGAUUUAUUGGGUUUAAAGGGUGCGUAGGUGGUUUAAUAAGUCAGUGGUGAUAGCUGGUUGCUCAACAAUCAAGUUGCCAUUGAUACUGUUAGACUUGAGAGAAGUGGAGGCUGGUGGAAUGGAUAGUGUAGCGGUGAAAUGCAUAGAUAUCAUCCAGAACGUCAAUUGCGAAGGCAGCUGGCUGUACUUUUCCUGACACUGAGGCACGAAAGUGUGGGGAUCAAACAGG